UCCUGAUCAGUAGCCUGUUGGCUGACUGUUGAAUAAAGCUCUCUGAAUUCCCGAAAAAAAAUUCGGUUGUAUUCAUUUCUCCCCUUCCUCCCCCUCUCGAACCCCACCUCCCUCUCCAAGACUAACUCCCUUUCCCAAUUCCUCCCAAAGACCUUGUAUCCAGAUCCAUGGUGGAAUAGAUCGAGAAGAGGAGCGUAACACUCGGCCACUCUCUCUUCACUCCUCAGAUCCCAGAUGAAGUAGCCGCAAUGAUAACGAAGAAUGAAGUCGAGGAAUACGGGAAAGAGAGAUCGAGCAACAAGGAUUCGCUCCUCCCUCUUCCCCGUGCAAAUGGACACCUUACCCUACCCUGGCAACUCCAUUGGGAACACACAGGAUAGAAUGAUGCAUCAGAUGGAGGAGGAACUGGUGGGGACUGUCCUAAGUUUGGCAAGAAAGUAAAUGCAAGGAGAAGGGGAAAAUGCUUGAAGGAGGAAGAAUGGGGCAAAGGGGAAAGCAAAGCAUGAGGAAGCAUGACACGAAAUGGAGCAAAGGGUUGGAUGGGCAGGGUGCGAGCAGAAGGGAAGCCACACACUUUUUGGGUAGCAUCAGGGAACCAUGGCAUGCAUGUUCCUUUUUUUGGGUCGUCUCUGAAAGGUUUGAAGUUCGUCAGCUAUAUUUGACUUGUGGCUUCUGUGGUUAGCAUUGUGACUACGUGCGCAUCAAAACCAUUUUUACUAAUUUUAGCGCUUUCUAAGACUAAUUUAUCUAAGAUCAGAAUGGCUAUAAGCCCACUUGGCGCUUCCUA